GAGUUUGAGUUUUAGAACUUAUGACAUCAUGAAGUGGAUAGAACAUGACAGAAGCUAACCUCCAGCUGGCAUAGGAAUUCUAAUAAGACAAUGUUUUAAGGAAAGCUGCAUACUUCAUCAUCAAUAUGGAAUUGAAAUAUAAUUAUUCAUCUUUCAGAACACAGCCAAGAUAUAUGACUUUCUACCAAGGGAGAAGAUAAAUGUGUUUACUUUGGUGCAUAAUGGGUUGGAGGUAAAGUAGUAAGAAACAACAGUCAUAUAAAAAUAUAAAUAUGACGAUGAUUUAAUCUUACUUACCAAGAAAAGAAUCCUAGUUGGUAGAAGAGGAAGAGGAAAAGUGAGGCAAAAUUCAACUAAUGCAUCAUUCUGACACAUCCGCUGUUUGGUCAGUGGUGUGCAGUCUGCUAUUUCUGAUAUAAUAAAUGUUUAUGGCACUUCUAGUUUAAUGAA